GAGACCCACGCCAACAGUUGCCAGCACGUUCUCCGGAAUGGUGGGGACACUGUUGGGACCGCCUCUGCUAAAGAGGAGGAAGGAAUGGGCAACGGUAGGUCAGCAUGCCCCGAAUUACCCGGGCUACACGCGGGCUACAAUGGACAGGACAAUGGGAAUCGACACCGAGAGGUGAAGGCAAUCCCCUAAACCAGCCCUUAGUUCGGAUUGUGGGCUGCAACUCGCCCACAUGAAGCUGGAAUCCGUAGUAAUCGCGGAUCAACAUUCCGCGGUGAAUAU
rnacentral:rRNA from 1 species